rnacentral:rRNA from 1 species
UACGUAGGGGGCAAGCGUUGUCCGGAUUUAUUGGGCGUAAAGAGCUCGUAGGUGGUUCGGUAAGUCGGAUGUGAAAUCUCCAGGCUCAACCUGGAGGGAUCAUUCGAUACUGCCGUGACUAGAGUUCGGUAGGGGAGUGUGGAAUUCCUGGUGGAGCGGUGAAAUGCGCAGAUAUCAGGAGGAACACCCGUAGCGAAGGCGGCACUCUGGGCCGAUACUGACACUGAGGAGCGAAAGCGUGGGGAGCGAACAGG